rnacentral:rRNA from 1 species
AGAGUUUGAUCCUGGCUCAGAACGAACGCUGGCGGCGUGCUUAACACAUGCAAGUCGAGUGCGCGCCUGUAGCAAUACAGGUGGCGCACGGCGCACGGGUGCGUAACACGUGGGCAAUCUGCCCUCUGAUGGGGAAUAACCCGCCGAAAGGGGGCUAAUACCGCAUAAAAUUCCUUGGACUCAUGUUCGAGGACUCAAAGGCGUAAGUCGUCGGAGGAGGAGCCCGCGCACGAUUAGCUAGUUGGUAGGGUAAUGGCCUACCAAGGCUUUGAUCGUUAGCUGGUCUGAGAGGAUGGCCAGCCACACUGGAACUGAGACACGGUCCAGACUCCUACGGGAGGCAGCAGUGGGGAAUCUUGCACAAUGGGCGGAAGCCUGAUGCAGCGACGCCGCGUGGGGGAUGAAGCAUUUCGGUGUGUAAACCCCUUUCGAUCCGGACGAAUACCUCGUAAGAGGGGUGACGGUACGGAUAUAAGAAGCCCCGGCUAACUACGUGCCAGCAGCCGCGGUAAGACGUAGGGGGCCAGCGUUGUUCGGAAUUACUGGGUGUAAAGGGUUCGUAGGCGGUGUGGCAAGUUGGGAGUGAAAUCUCUGGGCUCAACCCAGAGGCUGCUUCCAAAACUGCUGUGCUUGAGUGUGAGAGAGGCUCGUGGAAUUGCAGGUGUAGCGGUGAAAUGCGUAGAUAUCUGCAGGAACACCCGUGGCGAAAGCGGCGAGCUGGAUCACUACUGACGCUGAGGAACGAAAGCUAGGGGAGCAAACAGGAUUAGAUACCCUAGUAGUCC